rnacentral:rRNA from 1 species
GAUCCUGGCUCAGGAUGAACGCUGGCGGCGUGCUUAACACAUGCAAGUCGAACGGGAAACCUUUUAUUGAAGCUUCGGCAGAUUUAAUUUGUUUCUAGUGGCGGACGGGUGAGUAACGCGUGGGUAACCUGCCCUAUACAGGGGGAUAACAACCAGAAAUGGUUGCUAAUACCGCAUAAGCGCACAGGACCGCAUGGUCCGGUGUGAAAAACUCCGGUGGUAUAGGAUGGACCCGCGUUGGAUUAGCCAGUUGGCAGGG